rnacentral:piRNA from 1 species
UCCAGGGCCUCUUCUCUGCUAGGAGC